rnacentral:tRNA from 1 species
UCUGAUAUGGCAGAAUAGUGCGAUGAAUUUAAGCUUCAUAUAUAAAGAUUACUUUUAUUAGAA